UGUCCAGACUCCUACGGGAGGCAGCAGUGGGGAAUAUUGCACAAUGGGGGAAACCCUGAUGCAGCGACGCCGCGUGAGCGAUGAAGUCUUUCGGUAUGUAAAUCUCUAUCAGCAGGGAAGAAAAUGACGGUACCUGACUAAGAAGCCCCGGCUAACUACGUGCCAGCAGCCGCGGUAAUACGUAGGGGGCAAGCGUUAUCCGGAUUUACUGGGUGUAAAGGGAGCGUAGACGGCAAUGCAAGCCAGAUGUGAAAGCCCGGGGCUCAACCCCGGGACUGCAUUUGGAACUGUGUAGCUGGAGUGUCGGAGAGGCAGGCGGAAUUCCUAGUGUAGCGGUGAAAUGCGUAGAUAUUAGGAGGAACACCAGUGGCGAAGGCGGCCUGCUGGACGAUGACUGACGUUGAGGCUCGAAAGCGUGGGGAGCAAACAGGAUUAGAUACCCCGGUA
rnacentral:rRNA from 1 species